rnacentral:other from 2 species
UACACCCUACAGUGUGCGUGACCUUCCUUGAAGUUUUGAGCCAAUACCAUUACAUUGGGAACCUGGUCUCUGUCUAUGGCUUGAUUACUCUUUUAUAGAGGAACAUAAAAUAGACAGGAGGGUACCCACCUGCGAGAGCGGAGUUCAAACUUUAGGGAUUACGGCAUAUGUGGGGUUUUU